CUCAGAUUGAACGCUGGCGGCAGGCCUAACACAUGCAAGUCGAGCGGUAGCACAGAGAGCUUGCUCUCGGGUGACGAGCGGCGGACGGGUGAGUAAUGUCUGGGAAACUGCCUGAUGGAGGGGGAUAACUACUGGAAACGGUAGCUAAUACCGCAUAAUGUCGCAAGACCAAAGUGGGGGACCUUCGGGCCUCAUGCCAUCAGAUGUGCCCAGAUGGGAUUAGCUAGUAGGUGGGGUAACGGCUCACCUAGGCGACGAUCCCUAGCUGGUCUGAGAGGAUGACCAGCCACACUGGAACUGAGACACGGUCCAGACUCCUACGGGAGGCAGCAGUGGGGAAUAUUGCACAAUGGGCGCAAGCCUGAUGCAGCCAUGCCGCGUGUGUGAAGAAGGCCUUCGGGUUGUAAAGCACUUUCAGCGGGGAGGAAGGCGUUAAGGUUAAUAACCUUGGCGAUUGACGUUACCCGCAGAAGAAGCACCGGCUAACUCCGUGCCAGCAGCCGCGGUAAUACGGAGGGUGCAAGCGUUAAUCGGAAUUACUGGGCGUAAAGCGCACGCAGGCGGUCUGUCAAGUCGGAUGUGAAAUCCCCGGGCUCAACCUGGGAACUGCAUUCGAAACUGGCAGGCUAGAGUCUUGUAGAGGGGGGUAGAAUUCCAGGUGUAGCGGUGAAAUGCGUAGAGAUCUGGAGGAAUACCGGUGGCGAAGGCGGCCCCCUGGACAAAGACUGACGCUCAGGUGCGAAAGCGUGGGGAGCAAACAGGAUUAGAUACCCUGGUAGUCCACGCCGUAAACGAUGUCGAUUUGGAGGUUGUGCCCUUGAGGCGUGGCUUCCGGAGCUAACGCGUUAAAUCGACCGCCUGGGGAGUACGGCCGCAAGGUUAAAACUCAAAUGAAUUGACGGGGGCCCGCACGAGCGGUGGAGCAUGUGGUUUAAUUCGAUGCAACGCGAAGAACCUUACCUGGUCUUGACAUCCACAGAACUUAGCAGAGAUGCUUUGGUGCCUUCGGGAACUGUGAGACAGGUGCUGCAUGGCUGUCGUCAGCUCGUGUUGUGAAAUGUUGGGUUAAGUCCCGCAACGAGCGCAACCCUUAUCCUUUGUUGCCAGCGGUUAGGCCGGGAACUCAAAGGAGACUGCCAGUGAUAAACUGGAGGAAGGUGGGGAUGACGUCAAGUCAUCAUGGCCCUUACGACCAGGGCUACACACGUGCUACAAUGGCAUAUACAAAGAGAAGCGACCUCGCGAGAGCAAGCGGACCUCAUAAAGUAUGUCGUAGUCCGGAUUGGAGUCUGCAACUCGACUCCAUGAAGUCGGAAUCGCUAGUAAUCGUAGAUCAGAAUGCUACGGUGAAUACGUUCCCGGGCCUUGUACACACCGCCCGUCACGCCAUGGGAGUGGGUUGCAAAAGAAGUAGGUAGCUUAACCUUCGGGAGGGCGCUUACCACUUUGUGAUUCA
rnacentral:rRNA from 1 species